UCGUAAAAACUGAUAUAAGAGUAGAUACGAUACUGCACGUCAAAUUUCGCCGAUAUCAAUGGCCGUCACCUGAAGCUGCUACGUGACUUCACAAAACACAAGAUAUCGUCGCAUGUAGGCUUGCGUGUAGGUAUCGCAGCUUUGGAAGUCAGUCGUCGAUCGAUAUUUUAUAUUUUGUUUCUUAUUAUAUGACCUGUUAGGCUGUACCCUGUCGAAAUACGCCUCUUGUGAUGAAAUUCUGACGUGUGUGGGGAAAAAGAAGACCGCGUCUCUUAGCGGGAUAUUACUCGAAAACAGCCGUGUGCUUCGAGCGAAGAAACGUUGGAGCGAAGGAGGUUGGAAAAAUAUGCUGUACCUGCAGUUUUCGUGCACACGCAACGGCGACGGCGACCAAUCGAACGAGGAACGCUUGCCAAGAGAAGGAUGCAGGUGCUCGGAGGCUGAUGCUCCUACAGUUGAAGCUCACUGGCCCGACAAGAACAUCACUCGACUCGUCAUCUUGCCCCAAUGGAUGGCAGCUGCAGUUUGGAUGGCUACGCAUGCUACUCCUUGCUGUUGGAAGCAACCCAGGAAGGUAGAAGACUUUACUAAGGGAGGAAUUUGGCUCUGUAUCCGGCGGCUUGCAAAGUGGCAGAGGCAGCUCUUCAUCAGCAGGCUGAGCAGGUACCUCAGCAGAAAGCAGCGGCUGCCAAUGCAUGGAGAAUUCGGCGGAUGGGCUGCCAAGGCUGCAGUGUUGCAGCUUCGAUGAGCUCAACAGAUGGACAAGCAGCGAGAACAGUGGUGAAUGUGUAGACUUUCUGUGAACUUUACCGUAAUAUAGGGUUGUGAUGUGUUUGUGUAGUGAGGGGAUUCCACGACACACUCAAAACAGUGUAGAAUGUGUGAACAUUCUGAUAACAUCGUAGUUAACUUAUAUGCGGCAUAUAGGCCUGUGAUAUGUGUGUGUGUGGUGUGCUGAUUGUGUAAAACUGUAUAGGCUGCUCUGCUUUCAUGUCAUUGUUAUUGUCAUGUCAGUGUUAUUGCCUUCAUCACUUGUGCGACUUUCAAUGAGGUGUCCGUUAUUGCUGUAUGGAAAAAAUUGCUGUUGGUUGUCUGUUAUGACAGUUAGUUGUGCCAAUCUGGUCAGCUUUCCAUUUAUGGCAAUUUGUUGGUUUGAUGCAGUGUCAUACUUUGCCAUAAGGUUUGCCUGUGUCAUUAUUUUUACCCUAGUGACCAUUUGCUGAGCUUUGGUCUCUUGUACUGUUGUGGGAAAAUGCUUUUGCAAUCAGAUUUUGUGACUGAAAAUGCUGUUGGCUUUGAAUAGACAUACAUAUCUUGCAGUUUUGUCAUAUCUUUUCUUCAAAGGGGCAAUUAUUAACAUGCAUAAUAUGCGGAAAAGUAAAGUGAUGUUAUUUGUUCACAAAAAGCCUCUACGAUUUGGUACAUUUUAUUCAUCCAUAAUCUGACAGUUCCCAUGGCUUUUGAGUAGACGUCCAUACUUAGUAUCUGCUUGUCAUAAACAUAGUUUGAGGUAAGUGCUGUAUUUUUUAUAAAGCAGGGAAUUCUGCAACGUGGGAAAGUUUCACAGAAAAACCAACCCAUGUUCAAGUCAAUAAGCUAUGUGCCCUAUUAUUUGCAAUUAUAAAUUUAUUUUAUGGUGCUUAAUUGUGGUGUUUAAUUGUUUGAUAACAUACCGUAAAAUACUGGGCAAGCGCCCAUUUAAAAUUUUGAGGUAGUAAUGAAAAAAUGGGGGAUGGGCGCUUGUCCGGUCAUCAAUUCUACAUAUAAAGGUACUGUGCAUAUUUUCUCAGAUCUUACAAAUUUGGGUGUGGGCGGAUGCACGGUAUUUUACGGUACUUAGUAAAGUUACUGGCAAGGUAACUUUGAAGGAGCAUUCAGGUGUCCUCCCUGC